rnacentral:misc_RNA from 1 species
UCUCUCUCUCUCUCUCUCUAACACACUAUACAUGCAAGUACACACUAACACAGACCAUUCGUUGCCAUCUGUUUCAGUGAAACCAGCUUAGGACAUUUAAGCUUAAUUCAAUGUAUUUGCAUAUAAUUGCACUUAUGAAUUGAAGAUGUUUAGGCAGUAAUAAAGUUUAGUGUGUUCAUCACAUAAUUUUUACACAUUUCCGAGGACUUAACCCAAAAUCGUUUAGAGUG